rnacentral:rRNA from 1 species
UUUAUGGAGAGUUUGAUCCUGGCUCAGGAUGAACGCUGGCGGCGUGCCUAAUACAUGCAAGUCGAGCGAACGGACGAGAAGCUUGCUUCUCUGAUGUUAGCGGCGGACGGGUGAGUAACACGUGGAUAACCUACCUAUAAGACUGGGAUAACUUCGGGAAACCGUAGCUAAUACCGGAUAAUAUUUUGAACCGCAUGGUUCAAAAGUGAAAGACGGUCUUGCUGUCACUUAUAGAUGGAUCCGCGCUGCAUUAGCUAGUUGGUAAGGUAACGGCUUACCAAGGCAACGAUGCAUAGCCGACCUGAGAGGGUGAUCGGCCACACUGGAACUGAGACACGGUCCAGACUCCUACGGGAGGCAGCAGUAGGGAAUCUUCCGCAAUGGGCGAAAGCCUGACGGAGCAACGCCGCGUGAGUGAUGAAGGUCUUCGGAUCGUAAA